rfam:Selaginella moellendorffii unplaced genomic scaffold SELMOscaffold_92, whole genome shotgun sequence.
GACCUCAUGGCCCAAUGGAUUAGGUGCUGGUCUACAGAACCAGAGAUUCUGGGUUUGAUCCCCAGUGAGGUCG